rnacentral:misc_RNA from 1 species
UCUCCGUUGGUGAACCAGCGGAGGGAUCAUUACCGAAGUUACCCUUCAAAACCCAUUGUGAACCAUGCCUCUUGCCGCGUUGUCUCGGCGGGAGGCGCUGGGGCCUCGGCUCCGCGUCCCCGCCGGCAGCGCCAAACUCUAAACUGCAAAGCGUACUGCAUGUUCUGAUUUACAAAAAAAACAAGUUAAAACUUUCAACAACGGAUCUCUUGGCUCUG